GAGUUUGAUCCUGGUUCAGAACGAACGCUGGCGGCAUGCCUAACACAUGCAAGUCGAACGAGACCUUCGGGUCUAGUGGCGCACGGGUGCGUAACGCGUGGGAAUCUGCCCUUGGGUUCGGAAUAACUCGCCGAAAGGCGUGCUAAUACCGGAUGAUGUCGUAAGACCAAAGAUUUAUCGCCCAGGGAUGAGCCCGCGUAAGAUUAGGUAGUUUGUGAGGUAAAGGCUCACCAAGCCGACGAUCUUUAGCUGGUCUGAGAGGAUGAUCAGCCACACUGGGACUGAGACACGGCCCAGACUCCUACGGGAGGCAGCAGUGGGGAAUAUUGGACAAUGGGCGAAAGCCUGAUCCAGCAAUGCCGCGUGAGUGAUGAAGGCCUUAGGGUUGUAAAGCUCUUUUACCCGGGAUGAUAAUGACAGUACCGGGAGAAUAAGCUCCGGCUAACUCCGUGCCAGCAGCCGCGGUAAUACGGAGGGAGCUAGCGUUGUUCGGAAUUACUGGGCGUAAAGCGCACGUAGGCGGCUUUGUAAGUCAGAGGUGAA
rnacentral:rRNA from 2 species